CUCCUCUGACGUUAGCGGCGGACGGGUGAGUAACACGUGGAUAACCUACCUAUAAGACUGGGAUAACUUCGGGAAACCGGAGCUAAUACCGGAUAAUAUAUUGAACCGCAUGGUUCAAUAGUGAAAGACGGUUUUGCUGUCACUUAUAGAUGGAUCCGCGCCGCAUUAGCUAGUUGGUAAGGUAACGGCUUACCAAGGCAACGAUGCGUAGCCGACCAGAGAGGGUGAUCGGCCACACUGGAACUGAGACACGGUCCAGACUCCUACGGGAGGCAGCAGUAGGGAAUCUUCCGCAAUGGGCGAAAGCCUGACGGAGCAACGCCGCGUGAGUGAUGAAGGUCUUCGGAUCGUAAAACUCUGUUAUUAGGGAAGAACAAAUGUGUAAGUAACUAUGCACGUCUUGACGGUACCUAAUCAGAAAGCCACGGCUAACUACGUGCCAGCAGCCGCGGUAAUACGUAGGUGGCAAGCGUUAUCCGGAAUUAUUGGGCGUAAAGCGCGCGUAGGCGGUUUUUUAAGUCUGAUGUGAAAGCCCACGGCUCAACCGUGGAGGGUCAUUGGAAACUGGAAAACUUGAGUGCAGAAGAGGAAAGUGGAAUUCCAUGUGUAGCGGUGAAAUGCGCAGAGAUAUGGAGGAACACCAGUGGCGAAGGCGACUUUCUGGUCUGUAACUGACGCUGAUGUGCGAAAGCGUGGGGAUCAAACAGGAUUAGAUACCCUGGUAGUCCACGCCGUAAACGAUGAGUGCUAAGUGUUAGGGGGUUUCCGCCCCUUAGUGCUGCAGCUAACGCAUUAAGCA
rnacentral:rRNA from 1 species